GAUGAACGCUGGCGGCGUGCUUAACACAUGCAAGUCGAACGGAAAGGCCCUGCUUUUGUGGGGUGCUCGAGUGGCGAACGGGUGAGUAACACGUGAGUAACCUGCCCUUGACUUUGGGAUAACUUCAGGAAACUGGGGCUAAUACCGGAUAGGAGCUCCUGCUGCAUGGUGGGCGUUGGAAAGUUUCGGCGGUUGGGGAUGGACUCGCGGCUUAUCAGCUUGUUGGUGGGGUAGUGGCUUACCAAGGCUUUGACGGGUAGCCGGCCUGAGAGGGUGACCGGCCACAUUGGGACUGAGAUACGGCCCAGACUCCUACGGGAGGCAGCAGUGGGGAAUAUUGCACAAUGGGCGGAAGCCUGAUGCAGCAACGCCGCGUGCGGGAUGACGGCCUUCGGGUUGUAAACCGCUUUCGCCUGUGACGAAGCGUGAGUGACGGUAAUGGGUGAAGAAGCACCGGCUAACUACGUG
rnacentral:rRNA from 1 species